rnacentral:rRNA from 1 species
GAUGAACGCUGGCGGCGUGCCUAAUACAUGCAAGUCGAGCGAACGGACGAGAAGCUUGCUUCUCUGAUGUUAGCGGCGGACGGGUGAGUAACACGUGGAUAACCUACCUAUAAGACUGGGAUAACUUCGGGAAACCGGAGCUAAUACCGGAUAAUAUUUUGAACCGCAUGGUUCAAAAGUGAAAGACGGUCUUGCUGUCACUUAUAGAUUGAUCCGCGCUGCAUUAGCUAGUUGGUAAGGUAACGGCUUACCAAGGCAACGAUGCAUAGCCGACCUGAGAGGGUGAUCGGCCACACUGGAACUGAGACACGGUCCAGACUCCUACGGGAGGCAGCAGUAGGGAAUCUUCCGCAAUGGGCGAAAGCCUGACGGAGCAACGCCGCGUGAGUGAUGAAGGUCUUCGGAUCGUAAAACUCUGUUAUUAGGGAAGAACAUAUGUGUAAGUAACUGUGCACAUCUUGACGGUACCUAAUCAGAAAGCCACGGCUAACUACGUGCCAGCAGCCGCGGUAAUACGUAGGUGGCAAGCGUUAUCCGGAAUUAUUGGGCGUAAAGCGCGCGUAGGCGGUUUUUUAAGUCUGAUGUGAAAGCCCACGGCUCAACCGUGGAGGGUCAUUGGAAACUGGAAAACUUGAGUGCAGAAGAGGAAAGUGGAAUUCCAUGUGUAGCGGUGAAAUGCGCAGAGAUAUGGAGGAACACCAGUGGCGAAGGCGACUUUCUGGUCUGUAACUGACGCUGAUGUGCGAAAGCGUGGGGAUCAAACAGGAUUAGAUACCCUGGUAGUCCACGCCGUAAACGAUGAGUGCUAAGUGUUAGGGGGUUUCCGCCCCUUAGUGCUGCAGCUAACGCAUUAAGCACUCCGCCUGGGGAGUACGACCGCAAGGUUGAAACUCAAAGGAAUUGACGGGGACCCGCACAAGCGGUGGAGCAUGUGGUUUAAUUCGAAGCAACGCGAAGAACCUUACCAAAUCUUGACAUCCUUUGACAACUCUAGAGAUAGAGCCUUCCCCUUCGGGGGACAAAGUGACAGGUGGUGCAUGGUUGUCGUCAGCUCGUGUCGUGAGAUGUUGGGUUAAGUCCCGCAACGAGCGCAACCCUUAAGCUUAGUUGCCAUCAUUAAGUUGGGCACUCUAAGUUGACUGCCGGUGACAAACCGGAGGAAGGUGGGGAUGACGUCAAAUCAUCAUGCCCCUUAUGAUUUGGGCUACACACGUGCUACAAUGGACAAUACAAAGGGCAGCGAAACCGCGAGGUCAAGCAAAUCCCAUAAAGUUGUUCUCAGUUCGGAUUGUAGUCUGCAACUCGACUACAUGAAGCUGGAAUCGCUAGUAAUCGUAGAUCAGCAUGCUACGGUGAAUACGUUCCCGGGUCU